CCUGACUGCUAUCGGAUUGGUACUAAGCCAUGUGAGUCGUUGUAGCAAUACAAGGCAUACGGCUCAGUAACACGUAGUCAAUCUAACCUAUGGACGGGGAUAACCUCGGGAAACUGAGGAUAAACCCCGAUAGAUCAUUAUGCCUGGAACGGUUUAUGGUCCAAAUGAUUCGUCGCCGUAGGAUGGGACUGCGGCCUAUCAGCUUGUUGGUGAGGUAAUGGCCCACCAAGGCUAUUACAGGUACGGGCUCUGAGAGGAGAAGCCCGGAGAUGGGUACUGAGACACGGACCCAGGCCCUAUGGGGCGCAGCAGGCGAGAAACCUUUGCAAUGUGCGCAAGCACGACAAGGUUAAUCCGAGUGUUUCCUGCUUAAGGAAUCUUUUGUUAGUUGUAAAACCACUGAUGAAUAAGGGGUGGGCAAGUUCUGGUGUCAGCCGCCGCGGUAAAACCAGCACCUCAAGUGGUCAGGAUGAUUAUUGGGCCUAAAGCAUCCGUAGCCUGUUCUAUAAGUUUCCGGUUAAAUCCAUUAGCUCAACUAAUGGGCUGCCGAAAAUACUGUAGAACUAGGAAGUGGGAGAGGUAGACGGUACUCGGUAGGAAGGGGUAAAAUCCUUUGAUCUAUUGAUGACCACCUGUGGCGAAGGCGGUCUACCAGAACACGUUCGACGGUGAGGGAUGAAAGCUGGGGGAGCAAACCGGAUUAGAUACCCGGGUAGUCCCAGCUGUAAACGAUGCAGACUCGGUGAUGCCCUGGCUUGUGGCCAGUGCAGUGCCGCAGGGAAGCCGUUAAGUUUGCCGCCUGGGAAGUACGUACGCAAGUAUGAAACUUAAAGGAAUUGGCGGGGGAGCACCACCAAGGGGUGAAGCCUGCGGUUC
rnacentral:rRNA from 1 species